rnacentral:lncRNA from 1 species
AUCCUUUCUGAGUGACUCAUUUGAACUGGGACAAUUAAUCUUAAUCAGGACGGCAUGACAGCAGAAGACAUCCACAGUGAGGCCCUGGGCCACAUGUACGGGGGUGCCCUGGAGCUGAGCCAACCUGAGCUGCUCCCGUCACUGGAACAACAGCCUCAGAGGUUCUGUGCCAACAGAAAUGAUGCAAAAGAACUGAGAGCCAGGUGUGUCCAGAAUGAGUCACCAAACAGGAAGAGCAGAUAAGACAGAAGCACGUUGAACAGUGGAAAGGUAGGUGCAGACAUGAAGGAUCUGAUGUCAUGCCCUGGAUCCAGUUAGUGGCAUGCGAUUAGCACCCAAUUGACUUGUUUCCCUGAAUCAAGUGCGUGUUUUUUAAGUUGGAGAUCCACACCUGAUCCAUUCCUGCUUUAGUAAGAAAUUAG